GGAGAGGUGACAGAGUGGUCGAAUGUGCAUCCCUGGAAAGGAUGUGUGUCCGAAAGGGCACCGAGGGUUCGAAUCCCUCUCUCUCCGCCA
rnacentral:tRNA from 1 species